CUCCCAAAUCAUAAACGGUUCAGUAUGACUGAAGCCAAGGGUGACAGUAGCAAGAAAAGACACCAGAUACAGAUUAUGAAGGGCAUAGUGAGAUAUUAACACAUUUCUAUUGUAUCCCUGGGCAAAGGAAAAAUAAUGAAGAAUUUUAAGUGGAGGACACACGAUAAGGAGAGGUGAAGCCAGCUGGACUUCCUGGGUCGAGUGGAGGACUUGGGGAAAUUUUCUGUCUAGCUAGAGGAUUGUAAACACACCAAUCAGCACUCUGUAAAAAUGGACCAAUCAGCACUCUGUAAAAUGGACCAAUCAGCUCUCUGUAAAAUGGACCAAUCAGCUCUCUGUAAAAUGGCCCAAUCAGCAGGAUGUGGGCGGGGCAGAUAAGGGAAUAAAAGCUGGCCACCCGGAGCACCCAGCCAGCUGCUGCAACCCCACUGCCGUCUGGUUUCGUGCUGUGGAAGCUUUGUUCUUUCACUCCGUAACAAGUCUUGCUGCUGCUCACUCUUUGGGUCCGCGCUGGUUCUGUGAGCUGUAACACUCACCUCGAGGCUCUGUGCCUUCAUUCCUGAAGUCAGGGAGACCACGAACCCAGCGGGAGGAACAAACAACUCUGAUGCGCCAUCUUUAAGAGCUAUAACACUCACCGCCAGGGUCUGCGGCUUCAUUCCUGGAGUCAGACCACGAACCCACCAGAAGGAAGAAACUCCAGACACAUCUGAACUUCUGAAGGAGCAAACUCUGGACACACCAUCUUUAAGAACUGUAACACUCACCGGGAGUCUCAGUGGCUUCAUUCUUGAAGAUAGCGAGAUCAAGAACCCACCAGAAGAAAUAAAUUCUGGACACAGUAAGGGCUAGAGUAUUGGCAUUGGAGAGACAGGAACUAAAUUCUCAGCUCCAACACUUACCAGCUUGGGCAACAGCACAAAGUUAAACCAGGAAGUCUUUCUGCCUUGCUAGGGAGCGAGGUUUGCCUUCCUGUUGAGGUAUCCCAUUUCAUUACAGUUGACCUAAAUUUGAACAAGCACUGCCACCUGAUGCAUGAAAGCUCUACUGUGACCUACGUUAAAAGGAACUGACACUCCCUCAGGCUACCUUAGUCAGCGGGGGCUUAUUGCAGCAUACCUGUGGCAAUGAGAGAGAGAGGCACAUCACAGGAGCAUCUGGCACCAGUGGCAUCCUGGUGAGUGAAAUGUCAUAUGGACACUGGAAGGAUCUAACACUGAGGUGGCCCUUCAUCUCUGUGCUGUUCACCGCGAGCGUGCCUGGGCUGCUCUUCUGUGUUCUUCCUGAUGUUCCUCAUGAUACUGAUUGAUUGUUUUUUGGAAUUUCCCAGUUCAUAUUCCCAAGAGAACCCAUUGCCCUAUUUAAUCAUCACUUCUGUUGCUGCAGAACUUUGUGCAGUACUGGGGUUGCUUGCUGCCUUAAUGUCAGGGGUUGGCCAGGCAUCCAGUCAAAGGGCAGAGUAGGCUCUUGUGGUAUCGAAAUGGCCACCCUCUUUCAAGGAGCAGCAGGUCCUCUUCCUCAGCACAGAAGGCAAUGGUGAGGAAGAGGCUAAUUUUCCUUUGAAGAGGAUUUUGAGAAAAGGUUGGCCCAUCUAAAAUACAUUUUACAAUUCUCUAUUCCCAAACCCUGAAUAAUCCUUGGAGGUCACUCACUGUGCAGGAGGCUGAAGAAGGGUAACACUGUCACAACUGCAGACACAGACCCUUCUGGCUCCACCUCUAUCCUACCCUAGAACUAGAUUAAAGAGAGACUCUGGAGAACUUAUUCAUACCCAGUGGGGUACUUCUACAUUUCUCUAAAAUCAGGAGACACUUUCCCUUUGUGAAUAUUUAUACUUCUGAAGACAUUUGGAAAUCUUUAAACUGUUGGUUAAACAAUAAUUUAUAUUGUCCCCCUAUAAUUCAGAAAAGCAUAACUUCAAAAGAAUGAUGACAAACUUGGCCGGGCAUGGCGUGAGCUACGGCACCCAGCAGCUCAUUUAUUCUUAAUACUUCCAAUUCCUCUCUUUUCAUUCUCUUGUAAACUCACUCCAGUCAGGCUUGCACCCCCACUACUCUACCAAAACUGUUCUUGUCAAGAUGGCCAGUGACUUUCACAUGUUUAGAUCCAGUGGUCAAGUCUCAGUCCUCAUCUCCCUUGACCUGUCUGCCACAUUUGACAUCACUGAUUGUUCCUCUUUUCUGGAAACACUUUUUGUACUUGGCUUCCUGGUCACCAUACUCUUAGCUUUCUUCCUGCCUCACCGGCUCCUCCUUCUCAUUUACCUUAGGUGGCUCCUACUCUUCCUUAACUCUUAACUUUGAAGUGCUCCAAGGUUCAGGUUUUGAACUGCUUCUCUUUGAAUUCCCUUGGUGAUCUCACCUAGCCUUAAGGUUUUGAAAGUGUCACCCAAAUAUUGUUGACUGCAACUUUGUCUCUAGCCCAGCCCUUUCUCUUGAGCUCCGAGUUCUUAUACUCAACUGGCUACUUAACAUUUCUAGUUAGAUGUUUAAUAGGCAUUUCAAACAUAAUAAAGCUAAACUUCAGAUCUUUAUGCAAUGACUGCUGUGAUGUGCUGGCCACAUCACCCGCAGAACUGAGGCAGUUCUCUGCCAGCUCACAGCAAUGUCCCUCUUUAAGAAUUGCCCUCAGCUGAAGGGACCCGUCUUGCUUAAGAUAACAGUCUUACUUGAGGCACUUCCUCUCCAAUGCAUGGUUGACGUGACAGAAAAAAGGCCCAGCCCCAUUGCCUCAGUUUGAGACAACUCUGAAGAGUCAUUGCAGCUCCAUGUCUGAUCAGCAGAGGCUUCUGUCACGGCUCCAUCACAGUGGAGUGAUGCUCAGCGCUGCAUCUCUGCCCAACCCUACCUCUCUCACUGCCUUUACCGUGAUGUUCCAGAGAUGGGUCUCUGGGAACACCAAUCUCUGUCUGACUCUGCUUCCUGAGGAACCUGACUUAAGAUAGUAAAUAUUGAGAAUAGUCCUAGGAAACAGACUCUAAAAAGGAUUUUGGAACUGGGUCACCAGCCCAUUGCUGGGAAUGAAAGAUCCACUACUGGUUGGUAGCUGGAAUACUCACAGCCUGUGGUGUUCUGUAGUAGUUUUUAAAGCUAUCAUCACCUGUUGUUCUAUCAGCGAUUAAAAAGGAUGUUGAAAUCGCUAUUAUGAUUAUGGAUUUAUCUGUUUCUUCAUUCAGGUCUGUCAGUUUUUGAUGCUCUUUAAAGUACAUAAACAUUUAGGCUUAGGUAUAACUUCUCAAAGAAUUGACCUUUCUAUCAUUAUAAAUACCCUUCUUUAUUCCUGGUUAUAUGUUUUAUUCUGAAGUAUACUUUGUUUCCCUUUUGCUAGUUUACUGAUGUGAGUCAAUAUAUUUCAUUUUCAGCCUCCAUCAUAUUUACAUUUCUUUUGUCCUUUGUUCAAGGCCUCUUUAGAAACAUCUUCUCUAUGAAACUUCUCAAGACAGAACUUGUUAUUAUUUCUAGUGUUUGUACUAAGCAUGGAGUCCACUGGGCGCAAAUUGCUUGUGUUUGUUUUCAUUUUACUAAGCAUGGAUUACAUGUGUUUGCUUUAAUUAUGGAUUGACUGCUCUUGGGUCAGACACACGUCUACUGUCCAAAAUAUGUGGUGGGGGAUGAAGGGUCAUGUGAUAUAAUAUGGUUGUUUAGAGCUACCUCUUUGUUAGUGCCUAUAGAUGUGCCAUUUCUUUAAUUGAAAAUAGAGAACUUUAUAUGCUGUAUACCAUUGGUGAAAAAAUAUAAGGUGAACCUGAAAUAUCACAUGAUCUCUCUUAUGUUUGUAAAAUUUAUCUAUAUUUUUUGCAUGUAGCUUUAGUUUGUUCACAUCUUAUUUAAUAUUGCAUUGUAUGAAUAUACCACAACUUAUGUAUUCUUCUGUAGAUAUCCAUAUGGAACACUGUUACUUUAAAAUGAUAUUUAAAGUGAUCUUUAAAAUGCUUGUUUAUACUAUCAGUUUAUACUAACAGUUAAAAUUGUGAGGUCAUGUUUCUAGGAAAAAUGACCAAGUCCAUAAAUUAUUCUGUCUUUCACCAUUUCAAUCUGGAUAUUUCUUGGAUAUUCAAAUAUUAUUAUUUGUUUAAUGUUAUUUAAAGACAAGCAUCUCCCAUCAAAAGUACUUGGCAGUUCAGAAUAUGGUAACAGAGUGUUCUGUAAGAUGAGAAACUUUGCAAAUAUCUGUCUUUUCUGAGUGACAAUGUUGCAAGAGAAAUGAAAAAUGUGUCCCCCAAAACACACAAAUGUUUAUUGUAGUUUUAUUUGUAAUUGUCCCAAACUGGAAAUGACCCAAAUUUGUAUCAAAAAAGGUGAAUGGAUAAAAAUGUUGUGGUUUAUUUAUACAAUGGAAUACUAAUCAGCAUUAAAAAGUAACAAAUUAUUGAU